rnacentral:tRNA from 1 species
GUUAAUAGGGCUGCAUAAGCAGGUCACUUUGAUAUAGUGGACAGUGAAGGAUAUUCCGUUAAUA